rnacentral:tRNA from 1 species
CCCUGGUUAGCUCAGUUGAUAGAGCGCUCCACUUGUAAUGAAGAGGUCCUGGGUUCGAUACCCGAACCAGGCG